UUGAAUUCUCUUAACUGCAUAUAGCAAGCUAUAGUUUGAAGAUAAAGGAUUUAAAGCAUAUAUGCUAUGAGCCUCUGACAGUUCUUUGAUGGAUACAUUGCGAGGAGCGAGCAAAGGUACAGGAGGAGCGCAAACGGAAUAUUAUGAAGUAUAGGCAAUUUUUGGAAUCUUGUGACUUUAUUAAGGCAAGCACCCAGUGGCGAAAAGUACAAGAUCAAUUAGAGGCAGAUGAGCGAUGUUCUUGUCUUGAAUAGAUUGAUCGCUUGUAAAUUUUCCAGGUUUUUUUUUCCAAUUUUUAGCCAGAUAAGUUUUAUGUUUUUUGAACUAUUUUUAAGGUGAUGUUUCGGGAUCAUUUACAAGAUUUAGAGAAGGAAGAGGAAGAGCAGAGGAAGAUCCAGAAGGAAGAAAUGAGAAAGGCUGAGCGUAAAAAUCAUGAUGAAUUUCGCAAGCUAUUAGAGCAACAUGUUGCUGAUGGCAGUCUGAUAGCCAAAGCUCAUUGGCAUGAUUAUCAAUUGAAGGUUA